rnacentral:sRNA from 1 species
GCUGGGCAUGGUGAUGCAUGCCUGUAAUCCCAGCUAACAGGAGGCCAAGGCAGGAUUAUUGCAAGUUCAAGGCCAGCCUGGGCAAUUUAGUGAGAGUCUUAU